UUUCAAACAACACACGUGACACACGUGACUAAACCUGAUUGGUUGUUGUCAUAGUAACACGUCACGGUGCUAUUUGAAACUUGUUCAGUUUAGUUCAGUUGUUCACGGUGCAUGCGGUUGCUUGCAUUAAACGUAUAAACUGUUAAAUUAGAUGGCGACUCUGCAUUAAACGUAUUUAUUUAAUUAAUCGGCGAUCAUAUUUCACCAGAGGACUAAGAUAAAACAACUCGAUUUAAAAUAUGAGCAGUUUUAGUGGAUCUGACGUUGAGGGAAAAAGUAUUUCGCUUUUUGUUUGGAGAUGAACGAGACAACACGAGGCACAGCGACAUAAAUAUGACCAACCAGAUCCCAAGUAGACAGGAACAAAUGAAGAUAUAGCGCAUAGAAAGACUUAUUCUUGGUGAUCAACUGCUAUUGACAUUUUUGAAUCGGGGCAAAUGUGGAGUGAAGAAAAACGUUUGCAACACAUCCAUUCCAGAGUGCUCUGACAGAUAAAACUGACACGCUUGAUGAGGACACAGUCAAGCUUUAAAAGCCCGUGUGAUAAAGCAGUCUUCAAUUACUACGGUGUCUGAAUUGCAAGAAGAAGUCACCCUCCACUUAAACAUGUGACAUCUAAACUGUUUUGUGUUUUAGUUCAGCUUUUUAUAGGUUUAUCUUAAGUUGGUUAAAGGCAGAGUGCACUAUUUUUGAAAGCCAAUGUUAACAUUUGAAAUUACCUAAACAAACAUGCCUCUACCCCAAUAUAAUCUGGACCUUCUUUU